rnacentral:rRNA from 1 species
CCUACGGGAGGCUGCAGUGAGGAAUAUUGGUCAAUGGGCGCGAGCCUGAACCAGCCAAGUAGCGUGAAGGAUGACUGCCCUAUGGGUUGUAAACUUCUUUUAUAAAGGAAUAAAACGAGGCACGUAUGCCUUUUUGCAUUUACUUUAUGAAUAAGGAUCGGCUAACUCCGUGCCAGCAGCCGCGGUAAUACGGAGGAUCCGAGCGUUAUCCGGAUUUAUUGGGUUUAAAGGGAGCGUAGAUGGGUUGUUAAGUCAGUUGUGAAAGCUUGCGGCUCAACCGUAAAAUUGCAAUUGAUACUGGCAGUCUUGAGUACAUUUGAGGUAGGCGGAAUUCGUGGUGUAGCAGUGAAAUGCUUAGAUAUCACGAAGAACCCCGAUUGCGAAGGCAGCUAACUAAACUGUGACUGACAUUGAUGAUCGAAAGUGUGGGUAUCAAACAGGAUUAGAUACCCGGGUAGUC